rnacentral:rRNA from 1 species
UAAAACAGUUUACAGCCUGAGCACGUCUGAUCUCCUCUGAGCUCGGAAGCUAAGCAGGGUCUGGACUGGAUAGUACUGAAUAGGAUACCAAUGGUGGAUAACAGGUGCCGUUUGGC